rnacentral:rRNA from 1 species
CCGACGCUAAUACCUGAUGAGGCAUUUAUGUCAAAGAUUUUAUCGGAAAAGGAUGAGUCUGCGUCUGAUUAGCUUGUUGGUAAGGUAAUGGCUUACCAAGGCUACGAUCAGUAGCUGGUUUGAGAGGAUGAUCAGCCACACUGGAACUGAGACACGGUCCAGACUCCUACGGGAGGCAGCAGUGAGGAAUUUUGGGCAAUGGGGGCAACCCUGACCCAGCGACGCCGCGUGCAGGAUGAAGGCCCUUCGGGUUGUAAACUGCUUUCGGGUGAGAAGAAAAGCCGACUCGGUCGGCUGGGACUGUACCACCAGAAGAAGCACCGGCUAACUACGUGCCAGCAGCCGCGGUAAUACGUAGGGUGCAAGCGUUAUCCGGAAUCACUGGGUGUAAAGGGUGUGUAGGCGGAUUUGUGCGUCAGAGGUUAAAUAUCCAGGCUUAACUUGGAAAAUGCCUUUGAUACGGCAAGUCUUGAGUAUAAGAGAGGAAGAUGGAAUUCCUGGUGUAGAAGUGAAAUUCGUAGAUAUCAGGAGGAACACCGGUGGCGAAGGCGGUCUUCUGGCUUAUUACUGACGCUGAGGCACGAAAGCGUGGGGAUCAAACAGGAUUAGAUACCCUGGUAGUCCACGCCCUAAACGAUGUAUGCUUGGUGUUUGCCACGUAAGUGGCAAGUGCCGGAGGUAACC